rnacentral:rRNA from 1 species
UGUUAAUAAUUUAUAUAAAAUAUUUUGAUGAAUAUUUAUAUAAUAUUAACAUAAUUCAUAUUACUAUUUUUUUUUUAGUAUAUGAAAUUUUACUUUGAGAAAAUUAGAGUGCUUAAAGCAGGCAUAUGCCUUGAAUACUCCAGCAUGGAAUAAUAUUAAAGAUUUUUAUCUUUUUUAUUGGUUCUAAGAUAAGAAUAAUGAUUAAUAGGGACAGUUGGGGGCAUUUGUAUUUAACAGUCAGAGGUGAAAUUCUUAGAUUUGUUAAAGACAAACUAAUGCGAAAGCAUUUGCCAAGGAUGUUUUCAUUAAUCAAGAACGAAAGUUAGGGGAUCGAGGACGAUCAGAUACCGUCGUAGUCUUAACCAUAAACUAUGCCAACUAGAGAUUGGAGGUUGUU